rnacentral:rRNA from 1 species
UACAGAGGGGGCAAGCGUUGUCCGGAUUUACUGGGCGUAAAGAGCGCGCAGGCGGUCGUUCCAGUCGAGUGUGAAAGCCCCCGGCUCAACUGGGGAGGGUCACUCGAUACUGAUCGACUUGAAGGCAGGAGAGGGAAGCGGAAUUCCCGGUGUAGUGGUGAAAUGCGUAGAUAUCGGGAGGAACACCAGUGGCGAAGGCGGCUUCCUGGCCUGUUCUUGACGCUGAGGCGCGAAAGCUAGGGGAGCAAACGGG